UGGAGAGCAGGAAUGCAAGGUUUGAAGAGAGUAGAGAAAUUUUAAAAUUUCCAUCUGGAGGAUAGGAGGUAAUCUGCCUGGAGAAGCACUGUCAGAUGUCAGAGCAGUAUUGAGUAUGCACGUGAGUUCUUCAAGAUCAUCGAAAUGUGUUCACAGACAUUGUCUCAGCUGGCUUGGGAUGUGAGGAAAAGCCAUGUAAGGAAGAUAAAUGAGUGGCAUUAGAGCGAAUCUACAGACAAAGAGGCAGAGACUCAGAGUGUUUAAAUUGCUUUUCUGAUGUCACACAGCCCUUAAGAGGAAAAACCAGGAAGAGGGGUUGGUUUCUGUGACUGCU
rnacentral:lncRNA from 10 species